AAUCUAAUAAUCUAUUAUCUCUGUUUCCUCAACAUCGUGAUCCUUCUCACUCUCUCUGGCUUUUUCUUUUUUUUUUUUUCACACACAGUGCCUCUUCCUCUCUCUAUCUCGCCAGUUCUCUUCUUCCCCAAAGACCAAACCAAACCCACCAUAAAAUGCACACUCAUGAUGAAAGAAUUCUUUGGAGUUAGUUUUGGCUAUAAGGAAGGAGAACACUCGUUCAAGGUUGUUGUUUGGUUUCAUUGAGCAAUAUGAAUCUCGGCUCCUCUAAUGUCAUGACUUAUGUCACCGUUGGUGAAUGACUCGAUUUCAUUUCUGUCACCUUUAUUUCCUCGCAAUCUUCUCCAACCAACGAGCCUUGACAAGCUCGAGGGCUAUCUUCAGGAUUAUUUUGUGUUUCAGUUCUUCUCUAUGGGGUUUGGAAAUCUAAUCAAUUUUCAUGAAGGCAGGCGAGGUGAGCUACUCUACAGACAGUGGUUACUUGCUUGAAUUGAUUUCAAAUUUUAAUAAACAAAAACUGUAAUUUGGUUUCAACAUAUUUCUUCAUUCGAUUAAUCACACCCAUUACUUUUAGUGAACUAUUUAACAUAGAAUCAAUCUUUAAUGGCUGAGUAAUCAUCAUAUCUCAUAGUUUUAUAACAUUUUAAAAUGAGUGUUUAGUAGUGGAAGCUCAUCUAUACGUGACAUCUGCGUUGUAUUUUCACUACAAUGCUUCCUUCUCCCUUAUUAGUUCUUAUUUUUUGUCUGCCAUGUUCAUCCCUCAUAUGCCAUAAUGUCCUGAUAGUUGUGUUAUAAUUUAGCUUUUAUAUUUGGCUCUCUUUCCUCUCACUGUUGAUAAUUCUUGCUGUUGUACUCCACGUGGCAACUUCUUUAUCAAAAGAGGUAUAAGCUGGACUUCUUUAGACAGUUCCCUACCAUAUUGAACAGGUACUGAAGGAAGUUAGUUCAACUUUUUUUAUUUUCAGAAAAAAGGUUUAAAGAUGAAUAACUCUGCAAGUUGACUCUUACACCUUUUUUUCAUAGACUCCUGACCACAUUACAAAAUUUUCAUUGGCAACUUGGAAAGUACUUCAGAGAUUAAUUAAACUUCUCAACAUCUUUUAAUCGGAUUCAUGGCCUUCCCUGCUCCUUCAGGUAUUUGCAAUGCAGAUAUUAGUUAAUUAGUAAUGACAGUAGUUGUAUACGUAGCUUUGGUAGCAAUUAGUGAAAUGAAAAUUUACAUGGAAGCAGUGUAUAUCAAACUAAUAUGUUCUUACAAGUGCCAAUUUGAAAGUAACUAUUUUUUUUUUUGUGUGUUUUUUAACAUUCAUGUGUUUAAUUGGAGGAGAUUUAGAAUGAGAUCUGAUGUUGGCACCCCCACGGAUGCAAAUGAUAUGAGUACUCUAAGGGUAUAAAAUUUGCAGGUAAAGCUCAGAAUGUCAAUCUUGCUAUUCAAAUCUUUAACGGUGCUGCUAACAAGGGUGUGAGGAUAACCAGCAUUGAAUAUUUACAAUGUGCUCAAGGGUCCUUAUAUAUUCAAUGGCCUGGCUGUUACAUUAGAUUCUAAGAAGUUUAAGGGUUGUUAUAUGCAUUUAUUCAAUUUUAAAUGUUAAGUUUAGAUUUGAUUCACUUUUACUUGGUUUUAAUUUUGAUCCUAUUCUCGCUUGGACUUUGUCUUUUCCUUUUUCGGUUAUAUUGUAACAUGUUUAUACUGAAUGGAAAGAAGAUUAAGCUUGCAGUUGAGGCCAUCAUGAUCUUAACAAGAUGAAUUCUCUAUACUCUCAGACUUUUUGCUCAUUAAAACACAGCCGCUGAACAUGCAUGCUUCCCAACAACACCCUUAGGGUCAGAGCUCCCAAGAUCAUAAAAUUCACUACAAUGGUUUUGGAAUUUUAAGAGCUGAAUGUGGCUUUCAUGAGUGCCUUUGCAUUCAGCAAUUGGGUUUGUGCCUGUCUUUUGAGCUGAAAUAUAUUUGCAGGAAAAGCCCAAAGAUUUCCAUCUUGGGACGCAUACUAAAGGAUGUGUAUAUAUGAUACUGGCUGAGACAAGACACAUACUGUAAUUUAAAGCUUGCUGAUAUUUAUUGGCACAAUCAUUUUUUUAAUGAGUUCAAUGCAAACCUUAUAAAAAUAGUGGAUUCUCUUUCUGAAUCGUAUGAAGGUUGGUGUUGCUAUAAUUUACAUAAAAGAGUCCUUUGAUUAAAUUACUAGCAUGUAAUUAUGUAGAGUGUCUCUAGCUGAUAA